ACGCACGCUCGCGGCGUGCUUAACACAUGCCAGUCGAACGGAAAGGCCCUGCUUUUGUGGGGUGCUCGAGUGGCGAACGGGUGAGUAACACGUGAGUAACCUGCCCUUGACUUUGGGAUAACUUCAGGAAACUGGGGCUAAUACCGGAUAGGAGCUCCUGCUGCAUGGUGGGGGUUGGAAAGUUUCGGCGGUUGGGGAUGGACUCGCGGCUUAUCAGCUUGUUGGUGGGGUAGUGGCUUACCAAGGCUUUGACGGGUAGCCGGCCUGAGAGGGUGACCGGCCACAUUGGGACUGAGAUACGGCCCAGACUCCUACGGGAGGCAGCAGUGGGGAAUAUUGCACAAUGGGCGGAAGCCUGAUGCAGCAACGCCGCGUGCGGGAUGACGGCCUUCGGGUUGUAAACCGCUUUCGCCUGUGACGAAGCGUGAGUGACGGUAAUGGGUAAAGAAGCACCGGCUAACUACGUG
rnacentral:rRNA from 1 species